rnacentral:rRNA from 1 species
UACGGAGGAGGCAAGCGUUAUCCGGAAUGAUUGGGCGUAAAGCGUCCGCAGGUGGCUAUGUAAGUCUGCUGUUAAAGAGUGAGGCUCAACCUCAUAAGAGCAGUGGAAACUACAUAGCUAGAGUGCGUUCGGGGCAGAGGGAAUUCCUGGUGUAGCGGUGAAAUGCGUAGAGAUCAGGAAGAACACCGGUGGCGAAGGCGCUCUGCUAGGCCGCAACUGACACUGAGGGACGAAAGCUAGGGGAGCGAAUGGG